rnacentral:rRNA from 1 species
GACGAACGCUGGCGGCGUGCCUAAUACAUGCAAGUAGAACGCACAGUUUAUACCGUAGCUUGCUACACCAUAGACUGUGAGUUGCGGACGGGUGAGUAACGCGUAGGUAACCUGCCUGGUAGCGGGGGAUAACUAUUGGAAACGAUAGCUAAUACCGCAUAAUAUUAAUUAUUGCAUGAUAAUUAAUUGAAAGGUGCAAUUGCACCACUACCAGAUGGACCUGCGUUGUAUUAGCUAGUAGGUGAGGUAACGGCUCACCUAGGCGACGAUACAUAGCCGACCUGAGAGGGUGAUCGGCCACACUGGGACUGAGACACGGCCCAGACGCCUACGGGAGGCAGCAGUAGGGAAUCUUCGGCAAUGGACGAAAGUCUGACCGAGCAACGCCGCGUGAGUGAAGAAGGUUUUCGGAUCGUAAAGCUCUGUUGUAAGAGAAGAACGGGUGUGAGAGUGGAAAGUUCACACUGUGACGGUAUCUUACCAGAAAGGGACGGCUAACUACGUG